CUGACGCGGUGGUGGAGGGGACGCCUCGGUAACUGUUGAUCACAUCUGGUCGCCGGAAACGGGAGCCUGGUGGCGGUGAUCCUGAAGAGGAGCAGAGUCACUUCGGGCGGCAGAGUCAGCACAGCACUUGAAGCGCGGGUCUCCUUCUUCCGAGUCUCGCUUCCACGUUUAGCCGAUUCUGAGGAUCUUUGAUCUGAAAAACACGGACCAAGACCAGUGUGUUUCAAAGUGUGAUUCACAAACCGUCUGCAUCAUAGUCAGGGGGUGUUGGUUAAAAUGUAGUUUCCAUUUUCCACGAGAGAAUGAUUGAAGCCCUUCAUGUAGUGGCUUGGAUUUCACAUUUUUACUGAAUUACUAGGUGAUUCUUAUGCCCACUGAAGUCUGGGAACCACUGGCCCAGAGAGUAAAGGAUGCCCUAUAAAAAAUUUCCCACUGUGAUCUCUGUGGCCCUGGAGCCUGCAGCAGAAGUACCUCAGGGAAAUAGCCACAGAGCUGCGCCUCUCCAUCUGGCAAGAGCUGGAGUGUUAAGCAGUUUCCAUUCCUCAGAAGCAGGUUUGAAAUUUUAGGCCGAGAAAAUGGAGGUGAUAGGAGUUUUGAAGCUUCCUCUCCAAAAAUAGAAACGUGUUAAGCUUCUGAAAUGUCUGCCCGAGGGAGAAACUUCGGAAAAGGAACGGCUCCCCCUAGCGGCACGAGAAAGCAUCGCAAGAAGGCAUCACAAAGCAUUGGACUCCUUGCAGCUUCUUUCAAGAGGAAGGGGUUCUUCAGAAAUUCACCUUCUCGGUGUGGUCAAGUGGAACAACUCGGCAGAAGUUAGCGUGUGUAAAUUAAAGUAGGCUCUCAAGGAACAUGUUCUUGUGAUCUUGAAGGAGAAGGAGCACAUAUUUUUGGGAAAUUGGCUUCUGGUAGUCUUAGGAAACUAUCCUGAGAUAGUCUCAGUAGAGAAGGUGUGUGUAUGUGUGUGUUUUAAAAUUAAAUAUAUGCUAUAGAGAAGAAUGAAAUUAUGACCUUUGCAGGAAAAUGGCUGAAACUUGAGACCAUUAUGUUACGUGGAAUAAGCCAAACUCAGUAGGUCAAGGGCCGUAUGCUUUUUCUCGUACGU